UGAAGCUGAUGUAGGUUAUUACACAGUUUUACCAGUCGAUAGGGCCUAUGCCUAGGGUUCAUAACCUUACAUUUCCCGAGCAAAUUCAUUCAAACAAGCAUUUUGCAACAUCCGCAUGCAUGUGACCAAUACAAUUUGAUUUGAAAUCCCAAUAAUCCCAUUGCCUUGAACUCAGGCUCGCACGAGCGUUAACUGUCCUGUGAACACACAUUUGGCUUUCCCACCAGUGACGGUGCAAGUCAAUAUUAUGUAGGCUACUUUAAUGCUGUUGUCGCAAUCUUUCUUUGCGGAAGCUUGACGUCAAUCUAUAUAUAAAAAAUAACCGACAACCGACACUCGUGACUUAUAUGCAUUCCACGUGUGUCGUUCAACUGGGAUACACACACAACUUUGAUCUCGUCUGGAGGAAAUGGAAACAUACAGAACACACUUUGUCAUGUGGACUGUCCUGGGAUUAGCAGCAGUCUUCAUCUCUGCCUCGGAACGUUCCCGUGAAUAAACAUUUGUGUAACGGUCGUCGGUGGAAGAAGCCCUCUCAGGUGUGAAAGGAAUUGUGACACAGAAGGUCCUCCUGCAUUGCCCCUGCGUAAAUAGAAAUGUGAGAAAGACAAUUAUCUGGCAGCUAGAAGAGCAUACCAUCGUGCUCCGUCAUGAUGGAAGUAAUAACCACACAACCAUAGGGACGAGAUAUGAAAACAGGGCCAGUCUCUUUCUAAAUGAAGAGAAGGACAACUGUUCGCUGCUCCUCUCAGGCAUCACUGUGGCAGACCACGGGACAUACAAAUGCUCCUUUACAGCCGACGCUUUUGUCUACGAACAAGUAAUUCUACAUGUGGCUGCGAGCUACAGUGUCUGUAUGGACCUCGUCUCAGACCAGGCUUCGGUGAGUUCCGGAGGGGGAGAGGGGUCGAGGGUGUACCAGUGUAAAGCCUCUGGGGGCUAUCCAGAGGGCCAGAUUCACUGGGAGCUGGAAGGACAUCCUCUGGUGAACCCCUCCAGGAGGGAUGUGACCCACCUGGACAACAUUACAGGACUCUACAGCCUGACCAGCAACCUGACCAUCGAGCUGAGUGAGGGUGAAACACUGCAAUGUGUGGUGGAGAACACAGCCUUGGCCUCCAACCUCAACUCCAACUCCAGCUGCAAUCAAAAUCAUAUGCCCAUGGAAGGUAGCAUACAUUAUAAAGUACAGGUUGCAGCAGUUGUGGCUGUCAGCCUGAUUGUGAUUUUUAUUGUGGGAGUCCUGCUGGUGUUCUUACUAACUAGAUGUCGCCGACAUGAAAGGUCAACGAGAGACACAGAGAGGCAGGAAAGAGGCGUGACCCAGUCGUUUAAUGUGUAUGAAGAUGACUCUGCCUGAAUGUGUGAAGAGUCUCCCCCCUCUGAUGCAACAAUCUCUCUUCAACUGGCAGACAACAAAAUGGAGGGAUGAUGAUAAGAGGAACUGAAAGUUAAAAUAAGGCCUGUGUUCAAUGUAGAACUUGGAGCAACAUUGAGCAAUGUGUUGUGCCGUCAUGUCUGAACUAUUCUUUGGGUUUUAUGCAAAGAGGCAAACGGCACCUGAAAGUGGUUAAUCAUGGUUUUCCCUAGUUCGAUGACACUGAACUGAACCCUGAGUUACGAAUAUGAUGACGAGAGCAGAGUACAAAAUGUGGCCAUGGAGACAAGGUUUAGGAACUAAAAGAGAAGAGAAGAACAGCAUGAUAGGAGAAAUGACUGUGGUCAAUGGACCGAAUGUGAGCUAGACUCAGUGAAUGAAGCCCCCCCCCAAAAAGGGAGCCUGUGUAUUGCAAUUGUAGAGUUUACUCACUUCUUAAAGUACAGGUGCUUUCAUAUUUCUAAGAAGAGUAACAGCUGUUACAUGACUGAACAGCCAUCGUUGUCUUUAUGCAUUUUGUAUACUGCAUGUUCCUGGUGUUGGUCUAAUGUAGAUAUGUCUGCUCUAAACAAGAUACCCCUGUGUUUAAUGUCAAACUGGAAUGGGGGAGCCCCUACUGUGCUUUUAAAACCCCUUAUAAUGUCACUGGUCACAUUAUAAGGAAGCUGCAGUAGGAAGUGACUACUUUGCUGAACCAUUUGAAUCAUGCUGAGGAUUCAAACCAUUUGGUUUUAUGUUAGACCAAAUGAUUAGUUUUCAUGUAAAUAGUCAAUGACGUUGUUUUACUUAGAAUUGUGAAGAAUUGGACAUGUUAAUUGCUUAUUGUUAUGUAGCUUGCUGUGAACUUAGAGACCAUGUCAUGGGAUGACUAAUGUCAAGGAUUAUUCAAUUUACAAAUGUCAAGCAAAUUAUCUGGUUACUCCAGUUUAAAGGUCUUCACAGGUCCACCUGAAUACUCCAGACCUGACUUGAGACCGGGUCUGAAAUGAAAUAUUUUUGUUCUGGUCUGGGUCGUGUCCUGUUUGAUUGUUAUCAGGUGUCAGGUCUAUGUACAGUAAGCACAGAUGAUAGACCUGAGUGGACUCGAAUGGACCCGACCAAGGCUUUGCAUAGCCUAUAGAGGGCUUGACGUACGAUGCCUCCUGGCGGUCAUGUUGGAAGACCACGGCAUUAAUUAUUCUGUUCUGACAACAACAGCCAAGUGACUACACCAAACUGUAUGAUAACAGUGGCCAGUGCCGACCCGUCAUUCAGGGCAGGUGGGGCUUUUGAGACCCACAUUUUUAGAAAAAACAUUUUUGGCGGGGCUUGCCUGUUUUGCAUGUUAUUUUGGCAUUAAUACGGGUCACAUAUCAGUUUGCAAACAAUAUAAAAAAUAAAAUAAAAACACUUUUGUUCAAACGUUUGGGGUCACUUAUAAAUAUCCUUGUUUUUAAAGAAAUACAGUAUAGACAUUGUUAAUGUUGUAAAUGGCUAUUGUAGCUGGAAAAGGCAGAUUUUUUAUGGAAUAUCUACAUAGGUGUACAGAGGCCCAUUAUCAGCAAUCAUCACUCCUCUGUUCCAGAUAUAUGCUCGUCGGCCAUUGGACGUAAACAUUACACAACAAGUUGGAAAUUGCAAAUUCAACAAUGAGUGGUUUGUAAGGAAGUGAGCACAACCAGGUGAUACUUUAUACUGAUGCAUAAAUGAUGUAAUAUGCCAGGGAGUUAUACUGUAGCUAUGUAAUACUAUGUGUGGUGUGUAGUAAGCUGUUAGUACCCCAUGUGCCUCACGUUAAUAAUUUGGUCCCUUUUUCCCUCUUUCGCCUACUGUUCUGACUUGGUGGUGCACAUGUAGUCUAUAGCCUGUUUUAGAGAAAUGUAAUCAUAGAAUAUUAUAAGAGCAUUCAUUGUCUGCUUAUUUGGCCCCAUUAUUUAUUCUACGGUUCUGACUUGAUGUACAAAGAGAAUACUGUAAAAAUGCCCAUGAUCUGUCGCUGUAUACUGCAUGUUCCUGGUGUUGGUCUAAUGUAGAUCUGUCUGGUCUAAACAAGAUUUCCCUCUGUAAAUGCCAAACUGGUAUGGGGGAGCCCCUACUGUCCUAUUAAAACCCCUUAUAAUGUCACUGGUCACAUUCAAAGGAAGCUGCAGUAGGAAGUGACUACUUUGCUGAACCAUUUGAAUCAUGCUGAGGAUUCAAACCAUUUGGUUUUAUGUUAGACAAAAUUAUUAGUUUUCAUGUAAACGAUGCCUCCUGGCGGUCAUGUUGGAAGACCACGGCAUUAAUUAUUCUGUUCUGACAACAACAGCUAAGUGACUACACCAAACUGUAUGAUAACAGUGGCCAGUGCCGACCCGUCAUUCAGGGCAGGUGGGGCUUUUGAGACCCACAUUUUUAGAAAAAACAUUUUUUGGGGGGCUUGCAUUAAUACGGGUCACAUCAGUUUGCAAACAAUGUAAAAAAAGAUAUGUAUCAUUGAGUUAAUAAAGCCGCAUACAAACAUGGU